AAUUUUUUUUAAUGAUAUGGUGGAAAUGGUUUUUCAUUGUAAAAUCUCAUUCAUCCUUUUUUUUUUUUCUUUUUCUUUAAGCCAAAGUUUUUUUUUUUUUUUUUUUAUUAUUAUCACUUUGAUUUUGGGUGAAAUAUGACCUGGAGAUUCCUUGACUGUUCUAUCUGAAUGACAUGAAGUGUAGAGUGUUUCGUUGGUCAUAAUGAGUGUGUAUCGAUUUUUCACUGUAGACACAGUUAUGUGUGUAUCUUCAUUGUCCAAUCUCAUGGUUGUGUGUGUGUAUGUGUUUGGUCAGCGGGUGGAUGACACUCUUCAGAAGCUGGAGGCUGAGCUGGCUCUUCUGCUGGAUGCUGUCGAGGCCCCAGAGUGGAGCCCCCUGCUGGACAAACCACUCAUCGACAUACUGGACGAGCCGCCAGCAACGGAUUCAUGAGAACAUGAUGAUCAUCAGAGGUGUAUGGUUAAAUAUGAUCCAGACAUUUCUUCACAAGAUCGCACACAACAAUAACGGGACAGAGCAGAUCAUUCAGAUUCAUUCCGAUCCUAUAAUGAGUCAAAACAGGGUUUAUUUUUAAGCUUUUCACAUUAAAAUGAAAUUAAUCAUUUAUACCAUUUUACGGAGUGCCAGUGGUUUCUUUUAGCAUUUAAUUGAUGAUUUAAGGAACCACUGAUGAGGGCUGAUGAUGGUCACAUGAUCAAUCAUUGUAUGCAUGCGAAUAUACAAAAAUAACACAUAACAUGUUUACAGUGUACAUUAAUUUUUCUGGGUUCUCUUUACUUCUCCCAGCAUGUGUUGCUCUUAUGUGCUGUUGCUUCUGUUGUUAGUUUUAGUAACUUGUUUAGUCGUGUUCAGAGUUUGUAAUUUUGUUUUAAUGCACUGCAUCUCACUAGUCUCUUUAUGCUAGAAUUACUGUCAUAAAAUAAUUUUUCACAUUAUGAUCUGACUGAUUUAUGUUGUCAUGAAUAUCCGCUGACUUGGAAUGUGUUCAUAAAAAAAAAAAAAUAAAUAAAAUGAAAAAAUAAAGAUUUUUCA
ensembl:lncRNA